rnacentral:rRNA from 1 species
AUUGAACGCUGGCGGCAGGCCUAACACAUGCAAGUCGAGCGAGCGGCGGACGGGUGAGUAAUGUCUGGGAAACUGCCUGAUGGAGGGGGAUAACUACUGGAAACGGUCGCUAAUACCGCAUACCAUCAAAAGUGCCCAGAGAGGAGUAGCUAGUAGGUGGGGUAACUGCUCACCUAGGCGACGAUCCCUAGCUGGUAUGAGAGGAUGACCAGCCACACUGGAACUGAGACACGGUCCAGACUCCUACGGGAGGCAGCAGUGGGGAAUAUUGCACAAUGGGCGAAAGCCUGAUGCAGCCAUGCCGCGUGUGUGAAGAAGGCCUUCGGGUUGUAAAGCACUUUCAGCGGGGAGGCGUUACCCGCAGAAGAAGCACCGGCUAACUCCGUGCCAGCAGCCGCGGUAAUUC